UUGCAUAGGGAUCUACCUAGUAGUAUGGAAUAGCUGUUAGAAAUGACAGGUAAUACCGUAUAAUCCCUGCGGGGGAAAGAUUUAUCGCUAUUAGAUGAGCCUAUGUUAGAUUAGCUAGUUGGUAAGGUAAUGGCUUACCAAGGCUAUGAUCUAUAGCUGGUCUGAGAGGACGAUCAGCCACACUGGAACUGAGAUACGGUCCAGACUCCUACGGGAGGCAGCAGUGGGGAAUAUUGGACAAUGGGCGCAAGCCUGAUCCAGCUAUGCCGCAUGAGUGAAGAAGGCCUUAGGGUUGUAAAGCUCUUUCAGCAGGGAAGAUAAUGACGGUACCUGCAGAAGAAGUCCCGGCAAACUCCGUGCCAGCAGCCGCGGUAAUACGGAGGGGGCAAGCGUUGUUCGGAAUUAUUGGGCGUAAAGGGCAUGUAGGCGGUUUAAUAAGUUAAAAGUGAAAUACCAGGGCUUAACCUUGGAGCUGCUUUUAAUACUGUUAAACUAGAGAUCGAGAGAGGAUAGUGGAAUUCCUAGUGUAGAGGUGAAAUUCGUAGAUAU
rnacentral:rRNA from 1 species